GCACGGGUGAGUAACACGUGGGUAAUCUGCCCUGGAGUGGGGAAUAACACCGGGAAACCGGUGCUAAUACCGCAUACGAUCACGAUGUCUGCGGAUGUUGUGAUGAAAGGAGCAAUUCGCUCCAGGAGGAGCCCGCGGCUGAUUAGCUAGUUGGUGAGGUAACGGCUCACCAAGGCUACGAUCAGUAUCCGGUCUGAGAGGACGGUCGGACACACUGGAACUGAGACACGGUCCAGACUCCUACGGGAGGCAGUCGUGGGGAAUUUUUGGCAAUGGGGGAAACCCUGACCAAGCAA
rnacentral:rRNA from 1 species